AGACCCGAAACCCGGUGAUCUAGCCAUGGGCAGGUUGAAGGUUGGGUAACACUAACUGGAGGACCGAACCGACUAAUGUUGAAAAAUUAGCGGAUGACCUGUGGCUGGGGGUGAAAGGCCAAUCAAACCGGGAGAUAGCUGGUUCUCCCCGAAAGCUAUUUAGGUAGCGCCUCGUGAAUUCAUCUCCGGGGGUAGAGCACUGUUUCGGCCAGGGGGCCAUCCCGGCUUACCAAUCCGAUGCAAACUGCGAAUACCGGAGAAUGUUAUCACGGGAGACACACGGCGGGUGCUAACGUCCGUCGUGAAGAGGGAAACAACCCAGACCGCCAGCUAAGGUCCCAAAGUCAUGGUUAAGUGGGAAACGAUGUGGGAAGGCCCAGACAGCCAGGAUGUUGGCUUAGAAGCAGCCAUCAUUUAAAGAAAGCGUAAUAGCUCACUGGUCGAGUCGGCCUGCGCGGAAGAUGUAACGGGGCUAAACCAUGCACCGAAGCUGCGGCAGCGACACUGAUGUGUUGUUGGGUAGGGGAGCGUUCUGUAAGCCGUUGAAGGUGGCCUGUGAGGGUUGCUGGAGGUAUCAGAAGUGCGAAUGCUGACAUAAGUAACGAUAAAGCGGGUGAAAAGCCCGCUCGCCGGAAGACCAAGGGUUCCUGUCCAACGUUAAUCGGGGCAGGGUGAGUCGACCCCUAAGGCGAGGCCGAAAGGCGUAGUCGAUGGGAAACGGGUUAAUAUUCCCGUACUUGGUGUUACUGCGAAGGGGGGACGGAGAAGGCUAUGUUGGCCGGGCGACGGUUGUCCCGGUUUAAGCGUGUAGGUGUGUGUUCCAGGUAAAUCCGGUUCACUUUAACACUGAGGCGUGACGACGAGGCACUACGGUGCUGAAGCAACAAAUGCCCUGCUUCCAGGAAAAGCCUCUAAGCCUCAGGUAACAUCAAAUCGUACCCCAAACCGACACAGGUGGUCAGGUAGAGAAUACCAAGGCGCUUGAGAGAACUCGGGUGAAGGAACUAGGCAAAAUGGUGCCGUAACUUCGGGAGAAGGCACGCUGACACGUAGGUGAAGUGGUUUACCCAUGGAGCUGAAGUCAGUCGAAGAUACCAGCUGGCUGCAACUGUUUAUUAAAAACACAGCACUGUGCAAACACGAAAGUGGACGUAUACGGUGUGACGCCUGCCCGGUGCCGGAAGGUUAAUUGAUGGGGUCAGCGCAAGCGAAGCUCCUGAUCGAAGCCCCGGUAAACGGCGGCCGUAACUAUAACGGUCCUAAGGUAGCGAAAUUCCUUGUCGGGUAAGUUCCGACCUGCACGAAUGGCGUAAUGAUGGCCAGGCUGUCUCCACCCGGGACUCAGUGAAAUUGAACUCGCUGUGAAGAUGCAGUGUACCCGCGGCAAGACGGAAAGACCCCGUGAACCUUUACUAUAGCUUGACACUGAACACUGGUCCUUGAUGUGCAGGAUAGGUGGGAGGCUUUGAAGUGUGGACGCCAGUCUGCAUGGAGCCAUCCUUGAAAUACCACCCUUUAAUGGCUGGUGUUCUAACGUGGGCCCCUGACCGGGGUUGCGGACAGUGUCUGGUGGGUAGUUUGACUGGGGCGGUCUCCUCCUAAAGAGUAACGGAGGAGCACGAAGGUUGGCUAAUCCUGGUCGGACAUCAGGAGGUUAGUGCAAUGGCAUAAGCCAGCUUGACUGCGAGCGUGACGGCGCGAGCAGGUGCGAAAGCAGGUCAUAGUGAUCCGGUGGUUCUGAAUGGAAGGGCCAUCGCUCAACGGAUAAAAGGUACUCCGGGGAUAACAGGCUGAUACCGCCCAAGAGUUCAUAUCGACGGCGGUGUUUGGCACCUCGAUGUCGGCUCAUCACAUCCUGGGGCUGAAGUAGGUCCCAAGGGUAUGGCUGUUCGCCAUUUAAAGUGGUACGCGAGCUGGGUUUAGAACGUCGUGAGACAGUUCGGUCCCUAUCUGCCGUGGGCGCUGGAAGAUUGAGGGGGGCUGCUCCUAGUACGAGAGGACCGGAGUGGACGCAUCACUGGUGUUCGGGUUGUCAUGCCAAUGGCACUGCCCGGUAGCUACAUGCGGAAGAGAUAAGUGCUGAAAGCAUCUAAGCACGAAACUUGCCCCGAGAUGAAUCUUCCCUGAGCCUUUAAGGCUCCUGAAGGAACGUUGAAGACGACGACGUUGAUAGGCCGGGUGUGUAAGCGCAGCGAUGCGUUGAGCUAACCGGUACUAAUGAACCGUGAGGCUUAACCUUACAAC
rnacentral:rRNA from 1 species